AUAGCAAUAACAAUGACUUUAUUUUUGUUAUAAAGGUGGCAGCCAACACCUUGCCGUCCCCUCAGCACACAGGAAACUACACACACACUCUGUCUUCUCCUCAACAAGCCCCCAACUUCAACCUGCUGUCCCCCAGCCACCAGCCAAACUACGCCACCUAUAAAGAGGGCUACAACGUUUACGGCAUUGAGAGCGUCAAGAUCUAACACGGAUGAAGUUCACAGAUGCAAUGCGCUCCAAAGCUCGUCUAUCCAUCACAGGAUCAACCAGUGAGAAUGGCCGUGUCCCGGUGGCUUACCUCCGUCCAGGAUUACCCAUGAGCCUUGGCAUGACUGAUCUUUCCUGACCACGCCCAAGCCAGUGCCUUAUAGCCAAUGGAGACACAUCCUCCCUUCCCCACUGAAAGUGAAUGGAAAUGUUUGUCAUCUUGUUCGGUGGCCACUCACCAUGAGUGAUCUUCCCCGAUUUUCAAUCUGGAGCUUAGUCAAUCAUAUCUCUUUGAGGACUCCAGAUCUUUCUCUUUAACAAUUUACCUAGAUAGACUGGAUAGAUGUUGUCCUCCAACCACUUGGCUGCCAGGCUUCAGCAAAGAUCUGCCCACCUACAAAGUGAAUCACUUGACACUCAGUGAGAAAGAUGGCUGAUGAUUUACAAAUUCAUAAAAAACAAUCAAGCACAGUUGACAGUUUUCUAAACAAACACAUCAUUGUUUCUUAGAUUUUUGCCAUGGAGGCUCUUCUUGUAUAGAAAAUAAGGACAAUAGUGAUGCUGACCUAAUGCAAUAACAUUAAUCAGGGAUGUGAUUAAGAAUUGUGUAACUACUGUAAACAGUCUUUGUUAAAGUGAGUGCAAGAGCUAUGAACAAAAACAGUCGUCCUGAAAAAUCACAUCCAUGAAAUAAUAAAACAAUAGUAAUUGUGUAAUAGAAGAUAAUGAUAAUGAUGUUAUUGUUCCUAAUUGAUUUCCUUAUUUCUGCCUGAAAAUCCCUGAUUAGUAGAGUCUUUUACCAGACCCAAGAGAUGCAUGGACUGGCACACGCAUACACACACACACACACACACACAACACAUUCACAUAAAGAGAAACACUAGUACAACAGAACAUAAACAAAGCCACUAGUACUGUAUUAGGUAACAUGCACUUCACAGGGAUGGGCAAAAACAAAAUAUUUACACUUUUAUUACUUUUAUUUUGAAUCCAUUGGAACACAUCAGACUUUGGUCAACAUUUCUGACACCUAGUGGUAGCUUCAAAAAAACAAAUGCAACCUAAGGACACUGACUAGUUUGAGAGCAACACAUAAAUUGUACCAGUGUCUCCUAGAAAUUACGUUUGUAUAUUACUAAAUUGUAUUCAUAUUUACAUUAUGAUGGCAAUGAAAUUGCUGCCUGUGCUUAGUCUUAGGCAACAAAAGCACUUUUUAAGGUUAGGGAAAGAUUGUGAUAUCAGUUAAAUGUUAUUAAAAAAUCUUAUGUCUCAAAUUACUGCUGCUUUUUCUGUAUUAAAACACGCCACAGUCUUUACCUAACUAUAACCAUUAAAAAGCUGAAUAAUGCUGUAGUCACAAGAAAUAAAUAGUUACGUUCAGUAUUAGCAUUUUUGUGACUUGCCAGCUAUGUUAACUAACAAAUUUUCCUCGUUAUGGUAACCGAAAAUUACAUUUGGUCGACAAUCCACGACAGUGCUCAAAGCGUAUUUGCUGUUGCAAAUUAGUUGUAUAUAAAUGUAAAUUUGAGGAGACUAGUUUUUCAACUAAAAAAAAUUCACAAUAGUUUGAAACACAUAACAUUAAAAAAUCCUACAUCUAGUGGCUUUUAUGAAAUUUACUACACCACUCACAGAUUAAAUGGCGAAACUAAAUCUAGAACACAUUAACUGUAUUCAGACACAAAUAUGCUACUGUACUCAAUCUACUGUAUUUAAUUUGAUUAGUUAGCAUUUGGUUCUUGGUAGCACUACUGUGCUUACAAGUUGUACAGUAUCAUAUUAAUAGGUUUUGUAGUGUCUUAACUUAAGUAUUAUUGUAAAUGACUUUUACUUACUAGUUUACAUUUUGUUCUUAUUACAGGCAAUAUCUUAACAUUCAAACUUAUUGUUUUGUCUGUGAAGCACACAACUUUGAUCAUAUGAUAGUCAGUAGGGUAUAGCAAAAGUUUAUUAUAGCAAUUAUAGAUGAUGUUAAGUCAAUAAACAAAUGUCUUAUUAUCCAGUGGUAACAACAGCAUUACAGUUAAUGCAUUCAUUUUGGAAGAUAUUACCUAGAAUAUUGUCAGACACAGAAGAAAAACACUGGACCCAUAUAUAACCCAGGUAGUGGUUGGUAGAGAUACUACUUGAUAAUAGUAAUUUCGUGCUGCACUUUCACAAAGUUGGGAAACUCAUGUACCCUGCUUGAGUUUUAGUCCCCAAUAUGGGUCAAGUUCCAAAAACACAGAAUCCUACAGUUCCCAUAGUGUAAUUAGUGUUGUUUCUAUUGACCUUUCCUGGCUGGAAAAUGCCUGCAUCUAUCAAACUCUAUAUAUACCCCUAGUUUGAAACAGAUUUUGUGUUAUAAAUGUGUAGCCUCAUCAAAAAACAUAAUUUAAUACUUUUCAACAGUGGUUGGGAUAGUUUGAAAAGCUUUAGAAUAACCUGGAUUUUUUCAAACCAAUACGACUGUUACUGUUGAUCUCUGGAACCUGGUGGACUGUCCUCUUUCUCUAUCUCCCUGCCAUUUUUAUCCACAUUGUCAGGGUUAUUUUCUCAGACUUAACAAUGCUUCUCCAGUGCCACAGAAUAACAUGAUACAAUGCUGAGGAGGACUUAAAUUAGUUGUAGAGCGCCCUAUUUUCAUAAAAAUAUAGUAGUUCAAAUAUAUUUGAAAAAUAAGGCCCAUUCCUCUCAUAGGUCAGCAGAUCGUUACAGCAACAUAGACCCUAAUCACCUGUACAGUACAUCAGUACACACUGACACAUUAUGACAUACUUUAUAACACGCAGAACACACUUCUACCCUAACAUUUGCACGUGCACAUGCAGGUUUUAUCACCAGAGUCUGAAGCCAGCUGGAUGAUGUGCCAAACAGACUGAGAACCAACCAGAGCUCUCCAUGCUCAGCCAAUGGCAGCUGCUGAUACUGAUACCUGAGCCAACAGGAGCUCUCACUGCUAUGAGGUGGACAAGAAACUGUGAACAAAAACCUUACUUUUAAUAAAUAUACUGCACUGAUGAUGGCAAGAAAGACAUGAAGAAUGGAAACGAGGACGAUGAAGAGAACGUUUGCAUGUCACUUUGAGUUUUUUCUUUCAGAUGAACUUGUCAGCCUGAAGCUAUGUGCCUGGCUGUAGUUUAGUGUUUGAUAAUGAUAGUAAUAUGAAUAAUAUUAACAGUAUUAACUGCAGUAUUAAUGUGGUUCUUGUUAUGUAUAGUGUAUGCUUUUAAUAAUUCACUUCCGCUAUUUUCUUUCACCAGGAUGCUGUUAUUUGUGCUGCUAGUUAGAAGCUUGUUGGUUAGCUAAAAAGCUUCUCCCACAACAUGAUAAAUGCCCAAGAUGUUAAGGUAAAGUGAAGCUGCUUUCAUUUUCCUUGUUGACUCAUAUCAUUUUUUGCAAUGACCACUUAUGGUAAUUACCAUGACAUUUUCAUGGUGUUAUAAUCAAGUAAUCAAUCACUCAAUCAAUCAAGUUAUGAUGGAAUGGCUCCCAAACAUGUCAACCAGUAAGAGAAAUGUGAAAAUUAUUUCUGUUCACUUCACCUCUUGUAUAACUAAUUUGUAUUAAACUCAUCAAUUUUGACCAAAUCUUGUAAGUUGCUUUUCAACAGAUACAACUGAGUAUUGGAUUUGACACGUUAUACCAUUUUCAGUAUCUAUUAGACAUGUAUGCCCUCAAAAGUUUGUUCAUAAAAAACACACAGAGGGACUGUACUUUUUGUUCUAGGUGAAGUUUGAUGUUUUGAAAGCAUUUUGAUAUUACCCCACUUGUUGAAAGCUAAUCCUAUUCCUGGCCAAUAGGUGGCACUAUGUAUCUGCUGUCUACUUGAAAAGAGAACACAACAGAUUGUUCGUGCAUUUCAAGGUGUGAAAUGCAUGAACACAGUAAAGUAAUAUGAAAUGUUA